rnacentral:misc_RNA from 1 species
GAUGAAGAACGCAGCGAAAUGCGAUAAGUAGUGUGAAUUGCAGAAUUCCGUGAAUCAUCGAAUCUUUGAACGCACAUUGCGCCCUUUUGUAUUCCGAAGGGCAUGCCUGUUCGAGCGUCAUUAUCACCCCUCAAGCCCCUUGGCUUGGUGUUGGACGGUUGGCGACGACCCCUGGGUCGUCGCCCCUCCCAAAGACAAUGACGGCGGCCUCGUUGGACCCCCGGUACACUGAGUUCUUCACGGGACACGUACUGGAUCAAGGGUGCGCGGAGCACGGUCUUAACCAUUUCACCCCUCGUGGGCGGAAUAAUUUUUCUAGGUUGACCUCGGAUCAGGUAGGGAUACCCGCUGAACUUAAGCAUAUCAAUAAGCGGAGGA